UACGGGGGGGGUAAGCGUUGUUCGGAAUUACUGGGCGUAAAGGGCUCGUAGGCGGCCAACUAAGUCAGACGUGAAAUCCCUCAGCUUAACUGGGGAACUGCGUCUGAUACUGGAUGGCUUGGAUUCGGGAGAGGAAUGCGGAAUUCCAGGUGUAGCGGUGAAAUGCGUAGAUAUCUGGAGGAACACCGGUGGCGAAGGCGGCGUUCUGGACUGCUACUGACACUGAGGAACGAAAGCCAGGGGAGCAAACGGG
rnacentral:rRNA from 1 species